CCUACGGGCGGCAGCAGUGAGGAAUAUUGGUCAAUGGGAGAGAUCCUGAACCAGCCAAGCCGCGUGAGGGAAGACGGCCCUAUGGGUUGUAAACCUCUUUUGUCGGAGAACAAAACCCGGGACGAGUCCCGGACUGCGUGUACCCGAAGAAAAAGCAUCGGCUAACUCCGUGCCAGCAGCCGCGGUACUACGGAGGAUGCGAGCGUUAUCCGGAUUUAUUGGGUUUAAAGGGUGCGUAGGCGGUCUGUUAAGUCAGCGGUAAAAUUGCGGGGCUCAACCCCGUCGAGCCGUUGAAACUGGCAGGCUUGAGUUGGCGAGAGGUACGCGGAAUGCGCGGUGUAGCGGUGAAAUGCGUAGAGAUCGCGCAGAACUCCGAUUGCGAAGGCAGCGUACCGGCGGCAGACUGACGCUGAGGCACGAAAGCGUGGGGAGCGAACAGGAUUAGAUACCCCAGUAGUC
rnacentral:rRNA from 1 species